rnacentral:rRNA from 1 species
GAUGAACGCUGGCGGCGUGCCUAAUACAUGCAAGUCGAGCGAACAGAUGAGGAGCUUGCUCCUCUGACGUUAGCGGCGGACGGGUGAGUAACACGUGGAUAACCUACCUAUAAGACUGGGAUAACUUCGGGAAACCGGAGCUAAUACCGGAUAAUAUAUUGAACCGCAUGGUUCAAUAGUGAAAGACGGUUUUGCUGUCACUUAUAGAUGGAUCCGCGCCGCAUUAGCUAGUUGGUAAGGUAACGGCUUACCAAGGCAACGUUGCGUAGCCGACCUGAGAGGGUGAUCGGCCACACUGGAACUGAGACACGGUCCAGACUCCUACGGGAGGCAGCAGUAGGGAAUCUUCCGCAAUGGGCGAAGGCCUGACGGAGCAACGCCGCGUGAGUGAUGAAGGUCUUCGGAUCGUAAAACUCUGUUAUUAGGGAAGAACAAAUGUGUAAGUAACUAUGCACGUCUUGACGGUGCCUAAUCAGAAAGCCACGGCUAACUACGUG